rnacentral:lncRNA from 1 species
GGAAAAGGAACUCACUGGGAAGACCUAGUGUUUCAGUUUUAACUAUUAACCAAUAGUGGAAAAACAAGGAUGCCUAAGUUAUGCCUUCAGAGCCAAUAGGGUGGAUUUGUGUGCCCCACAUGACAGCAUUUCCCUUGUCUUUCACAUGGGCCGUAUUUAGUUCAAUUCAGAACUGCAGAUAGUACAGCUUGCACAGCAGCAAUGGGAUGUCUGAGCACAAGUGGCUGACUUCCAAGUGACUUUAUGAAGCACUUUUGUACUUUCCUUCUGCAUUGAAUUGGGAUCUGCAUCCUUGACAUUCACCCACCACACUCAUCUCUACUGAAGGAAACAGUGACUAGCACAGCUUUGCAGUAUGAAACUAGGAAUUGGAGCAGAAUUGCAGACCAACAAAUGAAGUGAGCUGAAGGCAAUUUGACCAAUGUUUUCUGUGUGAAUUCCACAGAGGCUGAUGAAGCAUGUUAUCAAUUCUCCAAGGUCCAGUGUCAAUACAAUAUGAAGAUGUGGCAUUUGAGAGGGUUUUCUUUUAAAAUGGAGGAACACCAUGAAGAAUGGAACAGAAGAACAGGAUCAAAGCCUGGAGAGUUGCCAGUUCCUUGCUGUAGGAUUGUAAUAGAACAGGCCAAGGAAGGUGACAACUUCAAGGCAUCGUUAAAAAGAGUCAAGAUGGUCAUGUGGGUAAGAUGUGGACUGGGAGCUGGCACCACCCCCAGCCCCGGCCUGACCCGACCCCAAGCCAACCCCUUCCCCAAAGUCCCUGUCCCAACUCCACUCCCUCCCUGCUCCUAAUGGACUCCUUCCCCAAAUCCCCGGUCCUUCCCCAAGCACACCACAUUCC